rnacentral:rRNA from 1 species
UACGUAGGGUGCAAGCGUUGUCCGGAAUUACUGGGCGUAAAGAGCUCGUAGGUGGUUUGUCGCGUUGUCCGUGAAAAUCCGAGGCUCAACCUCGGACUUGCAGUGGGUACGGGCAGACUAGAGUGUGGUAGGGGAGACUGGAAUUCCUGGUGUAGCGGUGGAAUGCGCAGAUAUCAGGAGGAACACCGAUGGCGAAGGCAGGUCUCUGGGCCAUUACUGACAC